CGAGUCGGCCAGAUGAUCGCGGCGCUAGCGCUGAGGAAAGUCCGGACUCCACAGAGCAGGGUGGUGGGUAACGCCCACCCGGGGUGACCCGCGGGAAAGUGCCACAGAAAACAGACCGCCCGGCGCGAGUCGGGUAAGGGUGAAACGGCGGUGUAAGAGACCACCAGCAUGCAGGGUGACCUGCGUGGCUCGGCAAACCCCACCUGGAGCAAGACCAAGAAGGCCAGUUCGCUGGCUGCGGACACCGUCCGAGCGCUGCUCGCGCGAGGUGUCCGGGUAGGUCGCAUGAGCCCGUCGGCGACGGCGGGCCAAGAUGGAUGAUCAUCCUCGACAGAAUCCGGCUUACCGGCCGGCUCGUCCC
rnacentral:RNase_P_RNA from 1 species